UCUCGGAUGGUCUAACGGUCAGGAUACCUGCUUGUCUGGCAGUUGAUAGAGGUUCGACUCCUCUUCCGAGAG